UAUUACACAAACGCGGAGGCCUGAGAUUUUGAAAUAGAAUUUCUGCAGAAAUUUUGGCGUUUUCAUAAUACAAAUAUGGCAAAAUUGGAAGUACUCCGCCUUCUAUGGCAAAUGCUGUGGCGUAUCCCACCUUAGCUCUUUUUGAAAGUUUUGGCGAAGUAGAAAAUGAACAGCCUAAACCAAGAGGAGAAGCUGUGGCAAUCUAGUUGAUAUUAGAUGGACAAAAAGUAGAAGAAACUGAUAACAUAGGAGCCGCGAUACAGCUGCUCAUUUCGGCUUAAUUUAUAUUUAAUCGGACAUACCCUUCGCAUACGGCAUGUACACGGGAAUUUUUGUAGCUUUAUAUCUGCAACGUAUCUGCGAAAAAAGGAACCAGAGGAAAA